CCGAACCGACUAGUGUUGCAAAAUUAGCGGAUGAGCUGUGGAUAGGGGUGAAAGGCUAAACAAAUCUGGAGAUAGCUGGUUCUCCCCGAAAACUAUUGAGGUAGUGCCUCGUGUAUGGCUCCAGGGGGUAGAGCACUGUUAUGGCUAGGGGGACAUGGCGUCUUACCAAACCAUGGCAAACUCCGAAUACUUGGAAGUCUGAGCACGGGAGACAGAGCACCGGGUGCUAACGUCCGGACUCAAAAGGGAAACAACCCAGACCGCCGGCUAAGGUCCCUAAUAUUGACUAAGUGGAAAACGAAGUGGGAAGGCUAAGACAGUCAGGAAGUUGGCUUAGAAGCAGCCAUCCUUCAAAGAAAGCGUAAUAGCUCACUGAUCGAGUCUUCCUGCGCGGAAGAUGUAACGGGGCUAAGUCAAUAACCGAAGCCGCGGAUUCGCAGCAAUGCGAGUGGUAGGGGAGCGUUCUGUAAGCCUGCGAAGGCGGAUCCGCGAGGACCGCUGGAGGUAUCAGAAGUGCGAAUGCUGACAUGAGUAACGUUAAAGCGGGUGAAAAGCCCGCUCGCCGCAAGCCCAAGGUUUCCUGCUCUACGUUCAUCGGAGCAGGGUGAGUCGGCCCCUAAGGUCAGGCUGAGAAGCGUAGCUGAUGGGAAGCUGGUUAAUAUUCCAGCACCGAUUUCAAGUGCGAAGGGGGGACGGAGUCCUGAAGGUCAUCCGGGUGUUGGAUAUCCCGGUUUACGAGCGUAGGAGGUUGACAGGCAAAUCCGUCAACGAAUCUCCAAGGCGAAGGAUCGAGGUUGAGAGAUCAACUGAAGUGACUGAAUGGGCUUCCAGGAAAAGCCUCUAAGCAUCAGCUUGGAAUUGACCGUACCGCAAACCGACACUGGUGGGCGAGCUGAAUAUGCUCAGGCGCUUGAGAGAACUCAGGAGAAGGAACUCGGCAAAUUGACACCGUAACUUCGGGAUAAGGUGUGCCUUUGUAGUGUGAAGAGAGAAACACUCCGAGCAUGAAGAGGCCUCAGAGAAUCGGUGGCUGCAACUGUUUACUAAAAACACAGCACUCUGCAAAGAUGAAAGUCGACGUAUAGGGUGUGAUGCCUGCCCGGUGCUGGAAGAUUAAUUGAUGGGGUGCAAGCUCCUGAUCGAAGUCCCAGUAAACGGCGGCCGUAACUAUAACGGUCCUAAGGUAGCGAAAUUCCUUGUCGGG
rnacentral:rRNA from 1 species